UCUGCAUGAGCAAGGGGAGGGCACUCCCGAGACCCGGUGGGAAAGCCGGGCCGGGCAGCCCUGGAAGUCCCUUCACCGACCGCGGCCCGGGAGGAGGAGCAGGAGCUCCGGGCUCAGCCCCACAGAGGAGCCCGCAUCUGCUGCGAACUGAAAUGCCAGGGGCAACAGUGGUGUGAAUUUUCUUCUGCUCCUUCAGCCCCUCCCUCAGCCAAGAACUUGAGCAGUGAAGAUACAUCCUUCUGCAAAAUGAGACUGCUGGCAAGGAUCCUUAGAACCUGCAAGAGUCCUUUUCUGCUGCCAUCACCUCCUUCUCUUGAUCUUUUGGUUUCUGGUUGUUUCCUCUGCAGAAAACAGGUAUCUCUGAACACUACAGUUCACUUAUUAAUUCUUAAGCCAGUACUUUAACAGCUUCUUUUUUUAUUUCCUCAACUUACCAAGACUUUCCUUGCUUAUCAUCCUGAAUGUGAAAACCCCUCAGUGGAAUACCAUGCUCUGUGAAGAAAACGGGCUGGUAGCCAUUGAUUUUUAUUGUUCCAAAUCUCAUUCUGUGUAGGACUUAAUAGAUUUAGAUGGCUUUGUAUUCCAGAGAGCUAACUGGAGGAGCUGGCAGUCUCUAGAAUUUGGCAGGUUAUAAAACAAGCUUGUAGUAAGAACAUGGUGACUUUGGAAAAUAAACUAUGAAAAUGCA